rnacentral:tRNA from 1 species
AUUCAGUAGCUCAGUGGAUAACGAGAUGGCGUUUGAAGCAAAAGGUACUGGGUUCGAGUCCCAUGGUGAACA